rfam:Angiostrongylus cantonensis strain Taiwan genome assembly, scaffold: ACAC_contig0012316
GCAUUGGUGGUUCAUUGGUAGAAUGCUCGCCUGCCAAGCUGGCGACCCGGGUUCGAUUCCCAGCCAAUGCA